UCUCUGGAUUACCAUCAUUAGUAGUAGUAGUUUCUGCUUUUGUGAUUUUGGUGUUAUUUUCUUUAUUAUCAUUUUUUGGGGUGCAUGUUGCCCAUUUCGAUGAUUUUGCUGUGAUUCAUAUUUCGGAUUUACGGAUUUGAUUUCGUUUAGGUUAUGGGAAGUGGGGAAUGAGUCGAGCUUUUUAUUUUCUUUAAUGGGACUUCACUGUUUUUCUACGUUUCUUUUCGAUUCAAGGGAUGAAGCUUGAUUUUAUAUUGGCACUCGUGAACACCAUCUGUUUGUUCAUUUGUCUGUAUGAAUUGGUAAAUGUCUCUUUGUUAUUGUUUCAGCGUCAAGCUUAUGCAUUCCUUCGACAUUGUUUUUCUUCGUGGAAAUUUCAAAGCUGUUUGUGUAGAGUGGUACCAGAGUUACCUGACUUGUUUUGGGAUUCUUUAUAACUUUCUUUGUUUAUCUGUUCAUGAUGACCCAUGUGCAGCAUUAGGACAAUAGGAGUAAAGUACGAAGAAAUAACAGUUUAUGAGUGGAUAAGGGAAAUAACUUGAUUAAAAAUUGGAACUGAAUACGUAGCUGAAUUAAUGGGGGGUUUCCUAACUUGCAAUCCUAUUCUGUCUUUGAUAGUUUAAGUUUGAGUUUCUAUUGAAAACACCUUUAAAUAUUUGUAGAAUCAACUUUCAGAUUUUACAGCAAUAAUGCAGCAGCAUUUGUGAAUUCAUAUAUUUGACCAAGUGAAGAUAUUUUUACAUUAAAUACUAAAUAUUUCAUUACGAACAUGGUAGACUAAAUAGAUAAUUAUAGAGACUCAUCAAAUUACAAGAAAAUUCCCUAUAAGCUAUCUUAAGAUGAACCUAGAUGCAAACAAAUAAACCAAGAAAGAUUAUGAUGUAGAGUUUUGGGGGAAAUAAGUUGUGCUAAUUAUUUAGAAAAUUUUCUGGCUACUUCAUUUAUUUGUGUGAGAGAAACGUAGCAAUUCUUAUUAGCAUUUACUCUAAUGGGAAAUGCACGUGCAAACUUUUUUGAGCAUAUGUUCACUGCUGUUUGAACUAUGGAUUGUUUUUUGAUAAUAUUUCUUUAAAGCUGCAGGAUGGAUAACAAGUUCUGCUGUGAGAAUGUACAUGGGAUUGUUGGAUUAUGAUGUGAUCUGUAUAUGUGUUUUUUCCAUUUUAUCAUUUUAUGUAUAUGGAAGCUAUUGCAAAAUAUUCUGUUAUUUGUGGGAGCUUGAUGAGAAUUUCUUGUUGAAGAAUCUAUGUUGGUCCCUACAUUUUUUAUCAUCUCUUUUUGGGAAGUAAGGGAAAAGACACAAGCACCAAUCAAAGACACAAUCUGUGAUUGAAUUGUCAAAGUGUUGGUUGACUGGAAUGCCAUAGGCAGCGAAAUGCAGAAGGACCCUGUGGUGGUGCUAGACCAAUUAUAAAGAAGCGGCUUCCAAAAAAGUUCAGGCUAGUUAUUUCUAUCGCACAGAGAUGCAGGGUAGCUAGGUUAGUUAAUCUGGUGUAAGAUAAGCUAAGUUGAUAUUAACUAGAGCUAUACCAGCUGAAUUAGUUAGCUGUUGAAGACUGUUACAACUGGCUGAAACUUUCCCGCCUUGUGUAACUGCUGUACUCCCUUCUGUAAAUGAUUUUUCCGUCCCUCAAGGUCUGAACCCUCAGCAAUUGCAUUCCAUGGGGCAUGUACCGCAGGUGGAAUUAGUGCUGGCAUGUUGAUAGAGAUAUGAAUAACCAAGAAAGUCAAAGGUUUUCCCAGAGGUUAUGGCCAAGAUAUUUCUGUUCUGUUAUUUCAGAGGAAUGUACUCAUUUAAGAAUUCGAUAAAUAAAUCUUUGAGCUGCCUUUUUUCCUGGGCUAUAUAUAUAUAUAUAUAUAUAUAUAUAUAUUCUAAAUUGUAUCCCACAAACAUCAGGAACAUGUCUAAAUUACUGGCAUGUGGUUGUUCAUAUUUAUUUAUGAUUCCAAGAAAAUAAGAAAAGAAAAGCUUAUUUUGAUACUAUUUUCUUCCCAAUCAAAGAAAGAGUCAGUCAAAAGUGUUAGGUCACCACUGCUGGCUUAAUUCAUAAAAAAUUAAUUGUAUGCUUUAUAUUCUUAAUUGCAAUAACCACGUUACAGCUAUCCUUAAUAAUUUAUUAGCUUAUCCCAUUAAACAAAAACAACUACUACUAUAUUUUAUACUAGUAAAUGUUCAAUUGUUAGAGAAUUAAUGUCUAUAAUUAAGGAUUUAAUACCAUAUAUAUAAUUGUUCAGUUCAAGGUCUUUUUAAAAAAAUAAAUAAAUAAAUUUUCCUUCAAUUUCUUUGGAUGAUAUAUAGAAAAGAGAUGGUUUCCAACAGCUGGGAUCUCAUCCCCCAUAGCCUGCACUGCAGGCAGCGGCUUUGAUGAAUAGAACAACACAUAAUCUACUGUUAUUAGUUGGUCAUGACCAAUUCUUUUGACCAAACCCCAAUUUUUGCCGGAGCUGAACCUUAUUAUGUACACAACUCACAUUUAGAAAAUUCAUACCAUUCAUGUACUUGCAUGGAGGAGACAAAAAUAGGGAGGGAGAGAGAGCCUGAAAUGAAGUAAAAAGUUAAAUAUUAACUAAUAGUAUUCAAAUUAAGAAACUGAUAACUAAAUAGGUAAUUAUAGAGACUCGUCAAAUUACAAAAAUCCCUGUAAGCUAAAUUAAGAUGAACCUAGAUGCAAAACAAAUAAACCAAGAAAGAUUGUGAUGUAGAGUUUUGGGGGAAAUAAGUUGUGCUAAUUGUUUAGAUAAUUUUCUGGCUACUUCAUUUAUUUGUGUGAGAAAAACGUAGCAAUUCUUAUUAGCAUUUACUCUAAUGGGAAAUGCACGUGCAAACUUUUUUGAGUAUAUGUUCACUGCUGUUUGAACUAUGAUUGUUUUUUGAUGACAUUUCUUUAAAUCAGCUGGACGGAUAACAAGUUCUGCUGUGAGAAUGUAAAUGGUAUUAUUGGAUUAUGAUGUGAUCUAUAUAUAUGUUUUUUCCAUUUUAUGUAUAUGGAAGCUAUUACAAAAUAAUCUGUUAUGUGUGGGAGUUUGAUGAGAAUUUCUUGUUGAAGAAUCGAUGUUGAUCCCUACAUGUUAUCAUCUUUUUUUGGGAAGAAAGGGAAAAGACACAAGCAACUAAUCAAGGACACAAUGUAACACCUUGACUGUAGCCAAUCCGUACAUUCUAUUGUUUCGAUGACCAAUGUCGUUCCAGACAGCCAGAAUGUCUGGAACUAUAUAUAGACUAGAGUGAGGAGUCAUAAAUAACUCAAAUAAUAGUAAGAAAAUUUUUAAAACUAAAAUACAACAAAGUUAAAUGAGCCGGUACCCUAGCGAUGGGUAACUUAAUGGGAAGUUGUUGUUUUCACAGAUAGAAGCGUUAAACCCAGGGGAAAAAUUCUUGAAAUAGUUUUUGGGACUCCAGAGAAGAGUCAUUGAGGUUUUGAUGGCAUUAGAAUGCCAAGAAAAUGCUUAGAAAAAUUUUUAGAUUGGUACAGACGAUUUUGACUCAAUAAGCCAAACAGAGGGCAUUUUGAUCAUUUUGUUUUCAAAGAUGAUUUUUGGCCAACUUGUGCAGUUAAAUAAAUAAUUAUUAUGACAUAAAAUAUAAAUAAAUAUUGCUAAAAAUUUAAUUGAAAAUGAGUAGAAAAGAAAAUGAAAGAAAAUGAAUUAAAUUAGAAUUUUGACAUCACUAUGAUGUCAUUAAAACACUUCCACCCAAUCAUAUUGUGACACAUGUUUAUAAACCCAAUUAAAAGAGUAAAAUGGGCAGAUAUUUGAAAAUAAAAACUGCACUCUUCUUCAUCUCAUAGCCCAGCCGAAAUCCCUCUCCAACCCCAAUCCAUCAUUAAAGCUUCAUUAAGCUUUCAACUCCACUCCAAUUCACAUUAAAAUCUCAUCCUCUCUUCACAAAAAUUUACCUCUACCACUAGAGCAAGCUUGAGGCAGCAAUUAGAAGAAGAAAAAGUGAGAUUUAGCAAGCUUAGAAGUGACUCCAUUCAAUGUUAGUGUCAAUUAAUCCUUUAAACUUUGUGCAUACAUCAUUGGGAGUAUGAAUUGAUCCAUUGAUGUAUAUGUUUGAAGAAUUGAAAUGGUUGGAGUUAGGGUUUGGGGCACAAAUUUGAGAUUUUGCUCAUGUAUUGAUGAAAGGAAGUUCUAAUGGUCAAUUAGUGACCAUUUGGCUAUGUGUGAUUAGGAAGUGAAGUGAUUUGUGCCAUGGGAAUUAAAGUUAGGUAUGCUGCCUAGUGUGACCUGCAGGACUGGGUGUGAGUCCAGCAGAUUUGGGCAGCUAUAACUGGAGUUGAGUAGGUUCAAUUGGUGCAGGGCCAAUUGAACAUAAAAUUAGAUACAUAAUGACACAACUUUGAUGAAGGAACCCUGCCCAGAAAACCAUAAUAGACUGACCUAAAAAUUGACCAAAUCCGGGUACUAUUCAUUCUGCCUGGGCAAAAUGACCAAAUGAACAGUGUUCAUUCAUUUUGUCAUAACUCAGUGUAGAAAGGUCCAAUUGACCUGAAAUUUAUGUCAAUGAAAAGCUUAGACAAUUUAGAACAAUUUUUAUGUAGAACACGAACUCUAAUUCUGGACUUAACCAAAUGAAAUUGUUUGCCAAAAUUGAGCUACCAAAUCUGGCAGAAUGGGAUUCUGCCCAGAAAUUCUGGGCAGAUGCCAAUCCAACCAGCCUUAUUCAAAUUGGCAUAUCUUGAGCUAGAAAACUCCAAAUGGAGUUAUUCAAAAAGGAAAUUAAAGAAGAUACAUAAAUGAACAACUUUUAUGAAGAGAAUUUCAUAGAAUUCCUACUGUACAAAUGACCAAUGGAAUAGUAAACUUAGUGCUUGAAAUCUGAAAAUUUUAAAAUAACCAACACUAAGCUUUAUAAUGGUAUUGACAACUAAUGCCAACAAUUUUAGAAUGUAAAAUGUGGUAUGGCGAGGAUAUUAGAACUAAUAGACCUAUUGUCUAUGAAAAAGUUAACAUUUUAGUUGAUUAAUGGAAUGAAUAGUAACAAAUAAAUUUCAAUUUCAAAAAAAAAUUGCAUAAUUAAAAGUGUUAAAUGCCCUAGUAGGCUUAGUGUGAUUAGUUUGGAUAGGUUGGCAUGCCAAUAAGGUUCUGCUAGCAGUACUGCAUAUGACAUCAUGUCAUUCUGUGAUUUUAUGGCUUUAGCCAUUCUGACACUAUUGUGAUACUUGGCCUUGUGCUUAAUAUUUAUUACAGCUUAUUAGCUGUUCUGUUGCACACCGGGAGACACAUUGUGACCGAUGGUGUGACAGCCUGAGGUACUUGGUACCCAGUGCUAGUUUACCCGUUAUCCAGUCCAGUCAACUGGUAUAAGUUACUUGGGCAACAAAAAAUAAAUAUUGAUAAAUUUUAAUCAAUUAUUGAUAUAAAAAGUACCAAAUAAAUAAUACUACAAAUAAUUACCAAAAAUUUGUCCAUAUGAGAAAUCAACAUAUACACUGCAUGUUUAUUUCUUUUUAACUCUUUUUAUUUUAUUAUUGGCACCACUAAGCAGUAUUGCUUAGCGCGUUACUUUUGCCAC